rnacentral:rRNA from 1 species
AGCAGCCGCGGUAAUUCCAGCUCCAAUAGCGUAUAUUAAAGUUGUUGCAGUUAAAAAGCUCGUAGUUGAAUUUCGGGAUCAAGGAAUCGGUCAUGCCUUGGUAUGUACUGGUUUUAUUGGUUCUCACCUUCUAAAGAACCAUAAUGUCAUUUAUUUGAUGUUAUGGGGAAUUAGGACUGUUACCUUGAAAAAAUUAGAGUGUUUAAAGCAAGCUUACGCUUGAAUACAUUAGCAUGGAAUAAUGAAAUAGGACAUCAGAUUCUAUUUUGUUGGUUUCUAGGAUCGAUGUAAUGAUUAAUAGGGAUAGUUGGGGGCAUUAGUAUUCAAUUGUCAGAGGUGAAAUUCUUGGAUUUAUUGAAGACUAACUACUGCGAAAGCAUUUGCCAAGGAUGUUUUCAUUAAUCAAGAACGAAAGUUAGGGGAUCGAAGACGAUCAGAUACCGUCGUAGUCUUAACCAUAAACUAUGCCGACUAGGGAUCGGAUGAUGUUAAUUUAUAAUGACUCAUUC